rnacentral:misc_RNA from 1 species
GAGAGCCACCCCUUGAGAGAGGCUCCUCUGAGAUCACCCUGCAAAGGGGCAGUAAUAGAAAAAGAUUUCAUAUUUUAUUGAAAACCUUUGCAGUUUUUUCAUUUCUUCUAAAUUUUUUUUCAUUGUUGCCUUUUUCAGUCUCUGUCUUAUCUUCCUCACAGCUAUCACCACCCUCAUUUUGAACUAAUUUGUUCUUCUAUUGGAAAGAUAAAAAAAAAAUAUUAUCAAAUUACACCAGAAUUGCAAUAUUGCCCUCAAGAAAACCUGCAAUAGGCUACCCUUUCUGCCAUUUCUUUAUGCUCCCAUUCAUUCUGUGGAGAUUAUAGAAAGAUAGUAAUGAGCGACCUGAUAUUAUCAUAGCCAGCAAAUGCGAAUUCUUUGCAUUUCUUUGUAAUAUAGUCUUGUAUAGUUAUUUGUAAAUCAAAGCAGAUACUCAGAAUUAAAAUAGUCUUGUAUUAUUGUUUCUACCUCCGCUGCCAUAAUUGGUUCACUAAGCAAUGGGGUUUAGAUGGAACGCAAAUGGGAUCCGGUUUUUGUGCUUUUUGGUUUUGAUUCUUGGUCUUGAAAUUCAAGGGUAUUGGUCCCUAGAUGAUGAAGGACUAAUUUUAUUGGAGUUUCGUGCAAGAGUGAGUUCUGAUCCUUUUGGUGCUUUUGCUAACUGGAAUUCCAAUGACAAUAAUCCUUGUUUGUGGUCUGGUGUUCACUGUGUGGCCGGCAAAGUGCAAAUAUUAGAUCUGAAUGGGCUUUCUUUAGAAGGUACAUUGGCUCCUGCUCUUGGAAAACUCAAUCACCUAAAAUCUCUUGUGCUCUGCAAAAACCAUUUCUUUGGUACCAUUCCUAAAGAGAUUGGAGGACUCACAAAGCUGGAGCUGCUGGACUUGAGGGAUAAUAACUUCAUUGGAGCAAUUCCAGUGGCAUCAGGAAGACUGCCAUCACUUAAAUGCUUGUUGCUCUGUGGCAAUAAAUUUGAAGGCAGCAAUCCUCUGGAGAUCGGGAGGCUUAACUUAUUUUCUGAGUUGCAAUUUGAUGAAAAUCUUGCAUGUGCUGCAGACUCUAGCACUAGCUGUGUAAAUCGAAAGUUUGGAAAUGGGUAAGUGAUUUGCUUAUCUCUCCUUUUCAACACCCACUUAUACACAUUGGCAGUUCAGAAUCAGCUAAUUGGAAAUCAUGUACUAGCAAUAAACUUGUUGCUCACAGUUAGAAGUUUUAGCUGGGGCUGAUAUAUAUAGGGAAAAAAAUAGUUAUAUCUAAUUGAUAUCCUGUCACAUGCUUAUUGAUUAUUUCUUCACUCAGACAAGCAAAAUUUUUUUGCCUUUUUGGCUCUUUGAACCACGAAAUCAUGCUGAAAAAAAAAAACCUGCUUAAUCUAUCUCACUUGAUUAGUAGGUUGAGAUGAUUAUUAAAUAUGCCAAAUAUUGACUCUUAAAUUGUAAAUUUGUGCUCUAAGCCAUGAACAUUUAGGAUAGCAUCCAGAAUUUCCUUUCUGUUUGAUUUUUUCUAACUGAUCAUGGAGCAUUAUUUUCCAUAAUUUUCAAUUCAUGAGGUUGACUGGCUAUAGAUGUGACUCGGCUAUCUAUUUUUCUGAUCCUUUAAUAUAUGUCUUGGGCAGUAUGUGGCAGAGCAGUUUGAAACGAUUGAAUGGUGCUUAUUCAUUGAUAAUCCCAAUUAAAGGAGCUGUUAUACGUUACUUCAAUGCCUUGCCACUGCAACUGUAUGGAUUAUAUAAUAUUUUCCAUGUGUACAUUAGUACAUACAUAUGUACACUUUUAUCCAUAUAUCUAUUUUUGUGGUUAAAGCUAUGCUUCUGAAUUUCUCUAUGUUUUAGGUAAUUUAUUUUGUUCUUUCUACUAAGAUGUUUACUCUCUUAUAAGGUUCAAGCUUGGAAAGAACUCUCUGCAUGAAUGUGAUGACAGUUACUAUGAGAAGCCAGCAAGUUCAUCUGAGCUGCCCAUGGCCCAAAAUAUAGAGGUCCUUGUCAAAUUUGCACGUCGUAAACUAUUUGAACAGUCCAGUAACCUCCCUGCUGCACCUGCUAGUAGUGGGUCCUCCACUCAACAGAUUAUUGCUUUACCAACUAGCCGAAGUAGUGGGAGUUUCCCAGCUAUACCUAAUGCAAAUCAAACUCAAUCUCCACCUGCACCACAACCUUCACCUGUUCAGUCUCCACCAAAAGGGUUCCAAAGUGAUUCUGAUUUCAGUUCAACUAAUAAUCCUUCUCCAAAAAGUGAAACUUCUAGUAAUGCAUGGUAUUAUUUCUUGAUUAUUCCAAUUAUGUUUACCUUGGUCAUUAUUGCUCUGGGCCUGCUGUUUUUGUGCCGUAAACAAGGAGUCACGACCAUAGGUCCCUGGAAGACUGGACUGAGUGGACAGCUGCAGAAAGCUUUUGUUACAGGAGUUCCCAAGUUAAAUAGAGCAGAGCUGGAAACUGCCUGUGAGGAUUUCAGCAAUAUAAUUGACACUCAUGAGAGUUGGAUUGCUUAUAAGGGAACAUUGUCCAGUGGAGUUGAGAUAGCUGUUGCUUCAAGUUCAGUUGCUUCUUCCAAAGAUUGGUCAAAGAAUUUAGAAAAGUCCUACCGGAAAAAGAUUGAUGCAUUGUCUCGGGUUAACCAUAAGAAUUUUGUUAAUCUCAUUGGCUACUGUGAAGAAAAUGAACCUUUCAAUAGGAUGAUGGUGUUUGAAUAUGCUCCGAAUGGAACCCUCUUUGAGCAUCUGCAUGGUAAUACUCACUUGACAUAUUUCAUUGUGAAAAUUUGGAUAAAUUUCUCAGGUUGUAGCUAUUUAGAUGCUGAAACAAAAUUUUCUGUCUUCAGUUAAAGAAAUGGAGCAUCUUGAUUGGAGUGCAAGGAUGAGGAUUAUCAUGGGCAUUGCUUAUUGCUUGCAAUACAUGCACCAUGAUUUAAAUCCACCAAUAGCACAUUCUAACUUAAAUUCAAAUAAUAUUUAUCUAACUGAUGACUAUGCAGCAAAGGUAAUCUCUUUCACAGGGUUCUUUUUUGUUUCUUUAAUGUACUCUUUUCACUGUCUAUAUUGUCCUCUUAGAUUGCCGAGUCUUGUUUCUUGCCACAAGCUUCCUCAAAGUCAAAGAGCUCAGGGGACAACGAGUCGGAGCAUUCUACAUUGCCACCCAUGGCCGAUGUUGAUACAAAUGUCUAUUGUUUUGGAAUUUUAUUACUUGAAAUCAUUUCUGGAAAGCUCCAGUACUCGGAAAAACAAGGGUCCCUUGAGAAAUGGGCUGCUGAAUAUUUGAAUGACAAGCGGAGUAUCAGCUACAUGAUUGAUCCAAGCCUCAAAUCUUUCAAAAACAAUGAGCUUGACAUCAUCUGCGAGAUUAUCCACGAGUGUAUACAGCCAAAUCCGAGUCAAAGACCAACAAUGAGGGAUAUCAGUUCCAAGUUGAGGGGAGUGAUUGCUAUCUCACCUGAUCAAGCAACUCCGAGGCUUUCUCCCCUAUGGUGGGCUGAACUCGAGAUAUUAUCUGUUGAGGCGACUUAAGUUCUGCCUGACACUUAUCUCAGUAUUGUAAGUCAUGUCUCUCUCACAUUUCAUGCCAAAAUCUAAAUAAUCAGUUUUUUGAUUGCUGCUUCUCUCCACAUCACUUAAUACCAUCACUAUGCAGCUUCGACACCCCAUUUUUUAUCUCGUUGUUAUAUAUUUGCUCCGUGACUUCAUUCUAUUCCUUUUUAGUUUUUUAAAAUUUCUCUCUAGAAUUUCCAUCAGAACGAGAGUAAUAUAUUUGUUUCCUUGAUGCGGUGCUAUGCUUCCAGCCGAUACAUGUCAUAUGUAUUUUGUGAUUGAAGUUUGUGGUGUAAAAAACUAACAUAGCACUAGGAUAAUAGUCCUGGUGAACAUAUUAAUUGUGAGCCUUAUUUUUAUAAAUAGGCUGUUAGUAUUCACAGGAUUCCUUAUUGUCCACAGCAUAUUUGCUGUUCUUUGCACCUAGGACUCGGGAUGGAUGGAGGUAAUGGAAGCAGAGCUGUUGUAAUCGUUGUUGCUGGGUUUUGGCACAGGAUUUUCUGUUAAAACAGGAAAAUUGUAGCGGACUACCAUUUCCUUGGUAGAAAAAAAAGAGAGAAAAUAUUCAGUCUUUCAUAUUCUGAAGUCAUCCGCUAAUUAAUAUUUUAAGGUGUAGUUAAGAUAUUAUUUCUAGAUCAAUACAUGCGGUAAAGGCAUGAAAUUUUUUUCUUUUUCUUUAAUUUGAGUUACAUGGCAAAUUAUUGAAGAGAAUUUGAACACAUCUAACUAUGACACAAUGGUAUGUGUUAUUAGGCUAUAAUUAAAUAUCGUUGAUAAAAUUCAAUUAUUUUGAUCGGAAAAAA